rnacentral:rRNA from 1 species
UACGUAGGGUGCGAGCGUUGUCCGGAAUUAUUGGGCGUAAAGGGCUCGUAGGCGGUUUGUCGCGUCGUUCGUGAAAACUCACAGCUUAACUGUGAGCUUGCGGUCGAUACGGGCAGGCUAGAGUUCGGUAGGGGAGACUGGAAUUCCUGGUGUAGCGGUGAAAUGCGCAGAUAUCAGGAGGAACACCGGUGGCGAAGGCGGUUCUCUGGGCAUGUCCUGACGCUGAGGCGCGAAAGCUAGGGGAGCAAACGGG